GUCUGUGUGGCCUUGUCGGUAACGUGUCUGGCUCUCAACCACGGGUCGUGGGUUCAAAUCCUGCCUCAGCCU
rnacentral:tRNA from 1 species